rnacentral:rRNA from 1 species
UACGUAGGGUGCAAGCGUUGUCCGGAAUUAUUGGGCGUAAAGAGCUCGUAGGCGGUUUGUCGCGUCUGCUGUGAAAAUCCAGGGCUUAACCCUGGACCUGCAGUGGGUACGGGCAGACUGGAGUGCGGUAGGGGAGACUGGAAUUCCAGGUGUAGCGGUGAAAUGCGUAGAUAUCUGGAGGAACACCGGUGGCGAAGGCGGCAUCCUGGACCGGUAUUGACGCUGAGGCGCGAAAGCUAGGGGAGCAAACAGG